GGACAUGCAUUUAGGAGAACCUCUGCUACAUUACUUGCCGACUCAGGAGCUGCCAUAACAACUUUGAAGAGGCAUGGAGGUUGGCGGUCAAGUAAUGUAGCAGAAGGAUACAUAGAAAACUCCAUUGAUAACAAAUUAAAAAUUGGAAAACAAAUUGCAAAAUCAAUUAAUGUAAAGCCGCAAGAGCCCACAGAAUUUUCUUCAUCCACAUUCCAAUCUGGUCUUAAUGUACCUGUUAAUACUGAACCUCAACCAGGACCGUCACAUGCUAACAACACUUUGGUUACACCCAGCCCUGUUAACCAACCAGGACCGUCACGUGCCAACAACACUUGGAUUACACAUAGCCCCUCUAACUUUGACCCACAGGAAUUAUCACAACAGCAGGAACCUGAAAAUACACCAUGCCUGACUAGUCAGACACUUAAUUUACAUGGAAGAACUCACAACAUAACUAUGAACUGCACUAAUUGUACCAUUAACUAUAAUUAUUACUGAAAAUAAAAUAUUUCUGAUA